rnacentral:sRNA from 1 species
GAAUGAGAAGGCCACCUGAAUGCAAUAUCUUCACCCCACUGAUCACCAAGGUUGAUUCAGCCCAUCUGCUUGAUGAGGUGGGUGCACCCUGCCUCCCUCAAUGCUCCAUGUACUUUCCUGGGUUAAAGAGGAUUGUUCUUGAAGGGUAUCAGAGUAGCUGCUCUAUCUGGCUGGAACCUCCACACACAUCUCCAGGUCUAUUUCCU